CGUCCAAGCGAUUUUCCAGGCAAGAGUACUGGAGUGGGUUGCCAUUGCCCUCUCUGAAUUCUAAGAGCAUCUGUCUACAAAGAAUAACAUGGUGCUGAUUCCUCCAGAGACAGGACGGUCACCUUGUCCUGGAGGAUCCUUGUGACGAUGCUCAGGGCUGUCCAGGUAACCAGAGGAUCUUCGGUCUCAAGAUGCUCAACUUAAUCACACCUGCCAAGUGCACUCUACAGAAGGAAGGUGGGAGCAUCUGAACCGGCAGGUGCGUCUUCAGAGUCCUCGGAGAAGGCAUCUUGUUGGCGAGAUCCAGACCUGCAACAAGGCCGCUGCUCAACUAACACUUCUCAUCCACAUCUCUGUUGUUUUGCCAGCAUCUGGAGUCACACUCACCAUGUGCUCGGUACCCCCUACCUGACUCCACAUUACAAAUUACAUCCUAGGCUGGUGGCCUGCCCAGUGUCACCAAGUUAUAUGUCUUCAUAUAAAGCUACAGUCAUCAAACAGUGUGGUAUUGGCAUAAGGAGG